CUAGGGUUAUUCUUUUUAAAGAUAAUAACUUUGGGUGUUAUAGAAAAAAUCCCUUGGA
rnacentral:tRNA from 1 species